UGCCUUAGGUAUGCAAGUCGUGCGAGCCCGCAAGGGCUAGCGGCGGACGGGUGAGUAAUGCAUUGGAACGUGCCCUAAAGUUCGGGAUACCCAGCCGAAAGGUUGGCUAAUACCGGAUGUGACCUCCGGGUCAAAGCUUCGGCGCUUUAGGAUCGGCCAAUGUCCCAUCAGGUAGUUGGUAGGGUAAUGGCCUACCAAGCCGACGACGGGUAGCUGGUCUGAGAGGAUGGACAGCCACAAGGGAACUGAGAUACGGUCCCUACUCCUACGGGAGGCAGCAAUCGGGAAUCUUGCGCAAUGGGCGAAAGCCUGACGCAGCGACGCCGCGUGAAGGAUGAAGGCCUUCGGGUCGUAAACUUC
rnacentral:rRNA from 1 species